CAGUAACUGGAACGGGUUAAGUAAGUUUGUGCUGCGAGAGAGAGGGGUUCCGUUCUGGGAUAUGGUGUAAACUAAAAUUCUGAAUGUGUACACUUGUAAGGUGUGCCAGCUUGCAAAACUUGGCAUCUGCCUUUUUGAGUGUAGCUAGCCCCAUCUUCACGUGAUCUGCUCUUAACCCCUUUUGUUUUCUUCUCCUCGUUUCUAUUCUUAUUCCUAUAUAUGCACCCCAUCCUCAGUCUCCAUUCUCACACUUACUAGUAGUAAGCAUGGAGUCCUCAAAGAUCUAUGCUUACCUCUUCCUCUGCAUGAUCUUUCUCUCUUCCGCCACUCCCAUUCUCGGUUGUGGCUACUGUGGCAAACCCCCCAAAAAGCACAAGCCUGGUAAAACACCAAAGACACCCAAAACACCCGUUGUUAAGCCACCAGUCACCAUCCCUCCCAUUAAUGUUCCUCCCGUUGUUCUUCCACCAAUAGUGAAGCCCCCAGGUAUUCUCCCUCCAAUUCCAAUUAUUAACCCACCAACCACACCAGGGAAGGGAGGGAACACUCCAUGCCCACCACCAAAGUCUCCUGCGCAGGCUACGUGCCCCAUUGACACGCUCAAACUUGGUGCCUGUGUGGAUCUUCUUGGAGGGUUGGUUCACAUUGGUUUGGGUGACCCUGUUGCGAACCAGUGCUGCCCCGUGCUUCAAGGGCUUGUUGAGGUUGAAGCUGCGGUGUGUCUUUGCACCACUCUUAAACUGAAGCUUCUCAACCUCAACAUUUAUGUCCCACUUGCCCUUCAGCUCCUUGUGACUUGUGGCAAGUCUCCUCCUCCUGGUUACACGUGCUCCCUCUAAACCAGUGGAAAGGAUUGAGGAAUAUAUGGUCAAAAUCGACAUGAGAGGAUGUCGAGCCACACUAUCUCUCUUCUCUUCUGAUUGGAACUGCUGUUGUUUGUUUUGCUAUUAUUUGUAAAACCAUUUGUUUUUAAUUGAGAUCGUUGCAUGUAUGGUUUAAUAUAAUCUUAGGCAAGUAGCAGCAAAGAUGCUUCUCUGUGACAUGUUCAAUUAUUAAUUUAUAUGAAUUGCGCUUUAAUUUGUUGAAUAUAUCAGUUUCGUGUU